AUUGCUCUGCCACCGGGUAGAAAGAGUAAAAGUAUUCAUUUAUACAUCGUUAGGUCUUAGAAGAUGUGUAAAAGGAUGCUUAUUUUUA
rnacentral:ncRNA from 1 species